AGCGAACGCUGGCGGCAUGCUUAACACAUGCAAGUCGUACGGGCAGGGAGACCUGUCAGUGGCGGACGGGUGAGGAACACGUAGGAACAUGUCCUGAGGUGGGGAAUAACGCCGGGAAACUGGCGCUAAUACCGCAUAUGAGCUGAGGCUCAAAGCCGCGAGGCGCCGUGGGAGUGGCCUGCGUACGAUUAGCUAGUUGGUGGGGUAACGGCCUACCAAGGCUACGAUCGUUAGCUGGUCUGAGAGGAAGAUCAGCCACACUGGGACUGGGAGACGGCCCAGACUCCUACGGGAGGCAGCUGUGGGGAAUAUUGGACAAUGGGCGAAAGCCUGAUCCGGCAAUGCCGCGUGUGUGAAGAAGGUCUUCGGAUUGUAAAGCACUUUCGGCGGGGACGAUGAUGACGGUACCCGCAGAAGAAGCCCCGGCUAACUUCGUGCCAGCCGCCGCCGUAACAC
rnacentral:rRNA from 1 species